UGAUACCGCGGCGGAUUUUGCCAAUCAUAUUUGAAGAAUGCAGACUAUGAGACGGACCCCUCAGUUUGAGUACAAAGAACCUCCGCCUACAGAAGUCCGCAGUGCUUUCCUUGAAUCUAUCUUCCAAGACUGUUGCAUCUGGACGUGACGAGGGUGAUGACUUCAGGGAAGUGGAAGGAACAGGAGAGGAAGACAUCUGGCAAUGGUCAUGACAGUUGUCCGUCAGGAAUCUACAGGUGGUGAGCAUGCGUAAGGAAUUGACAUACCUCAGUACAACUUAGACCUGCCUGUUGCACAUGAGAUGUGUGACUCUACUUACACACACAAGCUUCUGCAGUCUCAGGAACAUCAACUGCCAUGUUCAAAAGAAGUGGAAUAUGCCUCUGCAAUCUGGAACCCAUCCCAACAUCUCUUAAUCGACAAAGUAGAAUUUGUACAGAACCGCACGGUUUGUUGUUCGUGAUUAUCAUCCUUUUUCCAGCGUCUCAGCCAUUAAAGCCAAACUCUUUCUUACUCCUUUGAUUACCAGAUGAAAGGUAUCACGCCUGGCAUUCUUUCAUAAGUUAUAUUACAGUCACACUCCUCCCCACCCCACUUACUGUUAAUCCCC